AGCACCUGCAGGAGCUGAAGAGGAAAGCGGGACAGAGCGUGUAUGACAGUGGCAUCGAUGAGCUGGAGAGUGCCAGCACGUCCCCAGGCAGCAGCCUCAGCUCCAGUGAGGAGCACCUCAACACUCCAGCUGACACUUACCCCACCAAAGCAAAGCUUGGAGACACGCAGGAGCUGGAGGAGUUCAUCGCAGACCUGGAUAAAGCCUUGCAGGAGAUGUGAGCUGUGCUGUGGAGAGGAGCAGCCCCAGCCCCGAGCGUCCCCGGUGCCACCUCUGCUUCUGCACCCCUGGCUGGGGACAGGGACGGGCAGCGGGGUGUGGGAUGAUGGCACAGCCCUGCCAGCGCCAGGAGGGGACAGCUCUGCGCAGGCUCCGGGGACUUUGGGGUGACCUGGGCCACUGCUGAAGCCCCCAGAGUGAUUCUGGGGAAGAUGAUCUUGCAGGACAUCGAUGUGACCUCGGUGUCCCCCCCAGGCCGGGAGGGCCCAUCCUUGGUGGCAUCUGCCACUGCUGAGCUCUGCUUUGCAUGGGGAGCCCCAAGUUGGGCUCCUCUCUGCCCCCCAAGUGCCUCUGCCCCAGCUGCUGCUGUAAAUACUGUAAAAACGAUGUUUUGUGCUGUACAGAGGGGACGUGGUUCUGGAAACAAGAUUUUAAACCUCUGCCUGUGUCUGUCUUUGUCCCUCUGGCAGGGGUGGGAGCAGGGAUGCCUGGGCUGGUGGGAUGGGCACUAGAAAAGGGGGAACCUCAGGGAAGCGAGUUCAGCAUGCCUGGCUAAAGGGGAACGUGAGGAACCCCUUGUCCUCCCUCCCCCUUGGGAGAGCUGCAGUCUCUCCCUUUCUGCACCUGCC
rnacentral:lncRNA from 1 species